rnacentral:rRNA from 1 species
GCCCCAACAGCUAGCCCAACCUAACAAAACAACAAGCCCCUAUUAAUAACCCCACAUAAAACAAACAAACCAGACCAAACCAUUUUUCCCCCUCAGUACGGGAGACGGAACAGGACAAUCGGCGCUAUAGAGACAGUACCGCAAGGGAACGCUGAAAGAGAACUGAAACAACCCAGUAAAGGUUUAAAAAGCAGAGCUCGACCCUCGUACCUUUUGCAUCAUGAUUUAGCAAGCACCCCCAAGCAAAGAGCCCUUUAUGUUUGAAACCCCGAAACUCUGCGAGCUACUCCGAGACAGCCUAUGCAGGGCGAACCCGUCUCUGUUGCAAAAGAGUGGGAAGAACUCCGAGUAGAGGUGACAGACCUACCGAGCACAGUUAUAGCUGGUUGCCUAAGAACCGAAUAGAAGUUCGACCUUUUGAAUUCUUCCACCACUCAAAGUAACACUUUAGCCCGGCCCAAAGAACAUCAAAAGAGUUAUUCAAAAGAGGGACAGCUCUUUUGAACCAAGACACAACUUUUACAGGAGGCUAAAGACUAAAUAGCAACAAGGACCAUGCCCAGGUGGGCCUAAAAGCAGCCACCCCCUUAAAAAGCGUUAAAGCUUAAGCGUGUAUACCCUAUAAUUUCAGCCACCUUAUCUUACCCCCCUAGUUAUAUUAGGCUCUCCCAUGCUCCCAUGGGAGAAAAACUGCUAAUAUGAGUAACAAGGGAGCCCACCCCUCCCUCCCUGCCCCCUGUGUAAUCAGAACAGACCCUAACUGAAAAUUAACGCCCCCACAAGAAGGCAUUAGGACACAAUUUUGACAACUAGACACACCCCAAGAAACAAGCUGUUGACCCCACACUGGAAGGCCCAAGGAAAGACAUAAAGGAGAAGAAGGAACUCGGCAAACACCAGCCUCGCCUGUUUACCAAAAACAUCGCCUCUUGCAACCCCAGUAUAAGAGGUCCCGCCUGCCCUGUGACACAUGUUUAACGGCCGCGGUAUUCUGACCGUGCGAAGGUAGCGCAAUCACUUGUCUUUUAAAUGAAGACCUGUAUGAAUGGCAUAACGAGGGCUGAGCUGUCUCCUUUUCCCAGUCAGUGAAAUUGAUCUCCCCGUGCAGAAGCGGGGAUGUCUUAAUAAGACGAGAAGACCCUAUGGAGCUUCAGGCUAUCAAGCAGCUUAAGUCAAGAACCCCCUGUAAUGGGACAUAAACUGAACAGCCAUCUGACUGACUGCCUUCGGUUGGGGCGACCACGGGGGAACAACAAGCCCCCGAGCGGAAUAGGCAACAAACCUUUAAGUUAGAAGCACAGCUCGAACACCCAGAAAUUCUGACCACCAAGAUCCGGCAACGCCGAUUAACGGACCCAGUUACCCUAGGGAUAACAGCGCAAUCCUCUUUUAGAGCCCAUAUCGACAAGAGGGUUUACGACCUCGAUGUUGGAUCAGGACAUCCUAUUGGUGCAGCCGCUAUUAAGGGUUCGUUUGUUCAACGAUUAAAGUCCU